UUUCCUGUGGCUCAGUUGGUAGAGAAUUGCGCUAACAACGCAAAGGUUGUGGGUUCAAAUUUAAAUGCCUUUCACCCAAA